AGGAAGAUGUGGUGUGAGUGCCAAUGAGACAACUCUCCAUCCAAAUAACAAUUUAAAAAAGUAAACCAUUAUAGGUCAAUGUGCGGCCUUCAACACGGAGCCUUGGCUCACACCGAACAACAAGCUAUAAAGGGCCCCAAAAUUACUAGUGUAAAACCAUUCAAACGGGAAAACCAACGGUCUAAUGCACAUUUUGAAAAUUU
rnacentral:lncRNA from 1 species